CCUACGGGAGGCAGCAGUGAGGAAUAUUGGUCAAUGGCCGUAAGGCUGAACCAGCCAAGUCGCGUGAAGGAAGAAGGAUCUAUGGUUUGUAAACUUCUUUUAUAGGGGAAUAAAGGUAUCCACGUGUGGAUAUUUGCAUGUACCCUAUGAAUAAGCAUCGGCUAACUCCGUGCCAGCAGCCGCGGUAAUACGGAGGAUGCGAGCGUUAUCCGGAUUUAUUGGGGUUAAAGGGUGCGCAGGCGGGGAGUUAAGUCAGCGGUAAAAUUUCGGGGCUCAACCCCGACGAGCCGUUGAAACUGGCUUGCUAGAGGGGGCGAGGAGUAUGCGGAAUGGGUGGUGUAGCGGUGAAAUGCAUAGAUAGCACGCAGAACUCCGAUUGCGAAGGCAGC
rnacentral:rRNA from 1 species